rnacentral:rRNA from 1 species
AGUGAACGCUGGCGGCGGGCCUAAUACAUGCAAGUCGAACGACCGGACGGGAAGAUCGCUUGUUUACGGUUGGCGACUGUCGGAUGAGUGACAAGUCCAUCGCCAUCUAAUUUUUCUGGGGUGAUUUCGGAGGAAAAUUUAUGCUACUACCUCAUAUGUUCUACGGGUUAAUGCAGGUGAUCUUCGUAUCUUUCGUGACUGUAUUAGCUGAUUUCGCAUUAGCUAGUUGGCGGGGUAAAGUCCCACCAAGGCGACGCUGCGUAGCAGGUCUGAGAGGAUGAUCAGCCACACUGGAACUGAGACACGGUCCAGACUCCUACGGGAGGCAGCAGUGGGGAAUAUUCGACAAUGGGCGCAAGCCUGAUGCAGCCAUACCGCGUGGGUGAAGAAGGUCUUCGGGUUGUAAAGCCCUUUUAUUGGGAAAGAAAAGAAGCAGAUUAAUACGCCGCUGUUCUGACGGUACCCAAAGAAUAAGCACCGGCUAACUUCGUG